GAUGUCAAUAAAUGUUGCUUGUAUUUAAGAACAUCAAUGACUUUCCUUGUGCUUAGUUCAAAUUCGGGUGCUGCUUGUUUUCUAUGGUAAAAGCAUACACUGGGGAUACUAGUUUUUAUAGAUAGUUAAUAGUGUGGUCAUUUAAAAAAGGGAUUUUAUUUUAUUUUUCUUACAUUCUAUAUUAUGCAUAGAUGUGUGAAAUGAUACCGGCAAAUUUCUUCAGUGAAUUGUCUCUUGUAACUUGAAGUUUUAUAUAGUUAUGCAUUUACUUUGGAUUGAGUGUUGAACACACACACACACAUAUUACCAUCAUGUGUUAAAGUUUCUCUUUUCAAAUUUGGUACAAUUGUACUUCCACUCUAAAUGGAGCGGUGUAUAUGUAAGGUUGGCAUUGGGUAAAUAGUUGCUUGCUUUUGCAUCAUAUAUGGGCAAUAAAUGCAUCAUAUGCAUUAGCAAACCAUGUUGCAUGUUGUGCAUUUUAUGCAAAUUUCUUUGAUUAAUAUUGUUGUUUCUUGCUCCGGUCAUGUCUUUAUGCCAAAAUGCAUGUGACUUGCUCUGAUGCACAGACUCUUUAGAAUGGUUGAAGUAUUUGUGUUGGACACGACACGGGUACGAAUAUAGGAUAUGUG
rnacentral:lncRNA from 1 species